rnacentral:rRNA from 1 species
CAACCUGCCGUCUACUCUUGGACAGCCUUCUGAAAGGAAGAUUAAUACAAGAUGGCAUCAUGAGUCCGCAUGUUCACAUGAUUAAAGGUAUUCCGGUAGACGAUGGGGAUGCGUUCCAUUAGAUAGUAGGCGGGGUAACGGCCCACCUAGUCUUCGAUGGAUAGGGGUUCUGAGAGGAAGGUCCCCCACAUUGGAACUGAGACACGGUCCAAACUCCUACGGGAGGCAGCAGUGAGGAAUAUUGGUCAAUGGGCGCAGGCCUGAACCAGCCAAGUAGCGUGAAGGAUGACUGCCCUAUGGGUUGUAAACUUCCUUUAUAAAGGAAUAAAGUCGGGUAUGUAUACCCGUUUGCAUGUACUUUAUGAAUAAGGAUCGGCUAACUCCGUGCCAGCAGCCGCGGUAAUACGGAGGAUCCGAGCGUUAUCCGGAUUUAUUGGGUUUAAAGGGAGCGUAGAUGGAUGUUUAAGUCAGUUGUGAAAAUUUGCGGCUCAACCGUAAAAUUGCAGUUGAUACUGGAUAUCUUGAGUGCAGUUGAGGCAGGCGGAAUUCGUGGUGUAGCGGUGAAAUGCUUAGAUAUCACGAAGAACUCCGAUUG